rnacentral:rRNA from 1 species
GACGAACGCUGGCGGCGUGCUUAACACAUGCAAGUCGAGCGGGGAGAUGCCUUUCGGGGUAUCUUCUAGCGGCGGACGGGUGAGUAACGCGUGAGCAACCUUUCCUCUACUGGGGAAUAACACCGGGAAACUGGUACUAAUACCGCAUGAGACCACAGAGCGGCAUCGCUUAGGGGUCAAAGAUUUAUUGGUAGAGGGUGGGCUCGCGUCUGAUUAGGUAGUUGGUGAGGUAACGGCCCACCAAGCCGACGAUCAGUAGCCGACCUGAGAGGGUGAUCGGCCACAUUGGGACUGAGACACGGCCCAAACUCCUACGGGAGGCAGCAGUGGGGAAUAUUGGGCAAUGGGGGAAACCCUGACCCAGCAACGCCGCGUGGAGGAAGAAGGCCCUCGGGUUGUAAACUUCUUUUACCAGGGACGAACACAAUGACGGUACCUGGAGAAAAAGCAACGGCUAACUACGUG